UACAGGGGGGGCAAGCGUUGUUCGGAAUUACUGGGCGUAAAGGGCCAGUAGGCGGCCAACUAAGUCACACGUGAAAUCCCCAGGCUUAACCUGGGAACUGCGUGUGAUACUGGAUGGCUUGAAUUCGGGAGAGGGAUGCAGAAUUCCAGGUGUAGCGGUGAAAUGCGUAGAUAUCGUGGAGGAAUACCGGUGGCGAAGGCGGCAUCCUGGACCGACAUUGACGCUGAACGGCGAAAGCUAGGGGAGCAAACGGG
rnacentral:rRNA from 1 species